GUGAGGAAUAUUGCGCAAUGGAGGCAACUCUGACGCAGCCAUGCCGAGUGCAGGAAGAAGGCGCUACGCGUUGUAAACUGCUUUUAACCGGGAAGAAACCCCAGGACGUGUCCUGGGUUGACGGUACCGGAGGAAUAAGCACCGGCUAACUUCGUGCCAGCAGCCGCGGUAAUACGAAGGGUGCAAGCGUUAUCCGGAUUCAUUGGGUUUAAAGGGUGCGUAGGCGGAGCGUUAAGUCAGUGGUGAAAUCCUGCAGCUUAACUGUAGACUUGCCAUUGAUACUGGCGCUCUUGAGUGCGCUUGAAGUGGGCGGAAUGUGCCGUGUAGCGGUGAAAUGCUUAGAUAUGGCACAGAACACCAAUUGCGAAGGCAGCUCACUAAGGCGAUACUGACGCUGAGGCACGAAAGCGUGGGGAUCGAACAGGAUUAGAAACCCGGGUGUCC
rnacentral:rRNA from 1 species